UUUGGCUGAUGCCCGGUUUCGCCAGCAGAGGGCGCUCGGUGCUCUAUAGAUGUGUUGCUGAUCAGCAGAAGAAGCCAAGCCAAUACAGGUUGAAUGAGUCAGCAGAAUGUGAAUAAGUGCGCUCUUUUUUCACCAUGACUUUGUAUAUUUUGCAGGAUUUUUUUCAAAAUUAAAUAUGUUGCACAGAGAGUGAGUUGGCCCAUCAUUCUGAACCGUGUAACACAUGUGUGUGAAGGUUUUUGGAGUAUAUUGCUGUGUUUGUGAUAUUUGAGUGUAAAUGGAUGAGUUCGUCUGUGAGUAGACAUUUACAUGUGAAAGAAAUAACAAUAAACGAUAAACAUUAAAUAAAUUGCUGUCCCUUUGGCGGUAAUCCUACCCCCUCCUAUCUGUUUCUUUAACCACUACAUCUUUUUCUUUCUUUCCUUUUUUAUGUUUAUUUCAAAUGAUUUAAUGAUUAUAAUACCCAUCUAUGACAUACCACUCUCCGUCUCUCAUCCAUACAAUAAAAAUUAAGUUUUGCCCCAAAUACAUAAGGGGUUUAUACAAAUGUAGGCCUUGUGUGUCUCAAGCUACACAACAGCAUAUUGUGGCAACAUCUGUUCAACACAAAAAACCCUCAGCUCUUAUGUUUCCUCAGCUGCUAUAGGACAAGAAAUAUGAAAUAUGGAUUUUUUCCUAUUUCAUGUAUACAAAUAUCUUUUGUUUUUCAUUGCAUACUAUAGCUUUCAAUAUUUUUUUAGAGAAAAAAAAUCAAAACAAGGCUUAUAGACAUGUUUUAAAAAACACGACUUUCGUUUUACCAACACUGCAGAAAGGUUUGUCUUUAAACAAUAAAGCUGGAUGCUUUAGCUCGCACAAAACUCUCGUAAAACAUGUUAUGACAAAUGGAAAAACUAUGCCUCCCUUGUUUAUUUAAAGCAAGGAACUUUUAGUCUUUCCCAUAAAUACAAGCCAGCCCCACAGCAUGUUUCACAGCAUGCUUGAUUUUUUUUUGUCAUGUGUUCAUACUUGAAGUGAAAGGAGUGGCAAAA